rnacentral:rRNA from 1 species
UUGACCUCAAAUCGGGUGAGACUACCCGCUGUACAUAUGCAUAUCAAUAAGCGGAGGACGUAGUCAGUAGUCAGUAGUAGUCGAUCAAUUGUACCAUGACCAGUACGUAUUGAGUCCAGUCAUGAGUAGGUGGUAUCGUACC